CAUUGUUGUGUCCCAAAGUGUACCGGCGAUUCUCGCUACAACCAAGAGCUUUCCUUCCAUCGAUUUCCAAAAGACACAUCAUUAAAGGCAGAGUGGAUCUCAAAGAUCAGAAGAGACGAAGGGACCUCUUUUAAGAUUACAGGUAACACAAGAGUUUGCUCGAGGCACUUUCUUGAAAGUGAUUACCGCCCUCUAAGUGCUAAAAGAAAAAGAAACCUUAAGUCUGGGGUUGUUCCUUCUGUUUUUGAAUGGAGAGGUCCCAUAAAACAAAGAAGAAAAAUAAUACGACAUGUUGAUAGUGGCACACAGACUGAUGAAAGU